GGUUACUAAAUAAAAGACAGGCAGUGUGAUUGAGGUUACUAAAUAAAAGACAGGCAGUGUGAUUGAGGUUACUAAAUAAGAGACAGGUAGUGUGAUUGAGGUUACUAAAUAAAAGACAGGCAGUGUGAUUGAGGUUACUAAAUAAGAGAC